UACUGAAGUCUUCGUUUUCGUCUUUCGGACGGGCAGGUUGCAGGGUGCUUGACUAGGGUCCUUCUUGUCUCCUUGUUUCUCCUUCGGCUCUCGGUCUUGGAUGAACACCGAAUGGGGUAUCUGCGGAAGGCACUCCGACGCUCAAGUCAGUAAAACGGGUGAUCGGUAUUCGCGUAGGUGCACAGUAAUAAAUAACGUACAUUUCUCCUUGGGAUGUGUGUUAUUUAUAUUAUUUUAAUGGGCUUACCUCAUUGGGUCUGAUUAGUGGAAUGGAUCACACUUAGGGUUGCAUUACCUAAUCCUUAAUAAUGACUUAGUUUCACUAACCUUGGUUUGAGCGUUAAUGGUUAUACAUGUCGGUCGGUCUGACCAUGCGUGGUGUGUCGGUCGGUCGGGCAGAAAUACGCCGGCGAGCGUGUGUCUCGAUCAUCUCAAACAGAGAGACCGAGACACGUCAUGAUGUCGGUCGACCAUAUCGGUACAGUU
rnacentral:lncRNA from 1 species